rnacentral:rRNA from 1 species
CGCGUAGGUGGCCAAUUAAGUCAAAUGUGAAAUCCCCGAGCUUAACUUGGGAAUUGCAUUCGAUACUGGUUGGCUAGAGUUCUGUAGAGGGGGGUAGAAUUCCAGGUGUAGCGGUGAAAUGCGUAGAGAUCUGGAGGAAUACCGAUUGCGAAGGCAGCCCCCUGGACAGUGACUGACGCUCAUAUGCGAAAGCGUGGGGAUCAAACAGGAUUAGAUACCCCUGUA